AUUCAUCCCAGUUUUGUUCGAAAAUCUUCAAUGGAUUCCCAAUCACACCCAGUUCAAGAACCAUCACAAAACGUAAAUUCAUACGAGCAGUACCAAAAUUCUUCAGAUUCGUACUAUGAAAACCCUUCACAAACCCUAGGUCAAGAUCCCGCACCAGGUGUUUGUGAAAAUGCCGAGCUGAACGGCUCAAAUUCCAACUUUCGUGAAAACUCAGCUAAGCCAGGCGACAAUAAUUCAGCUCAAAACAAACUAUCAGAUUUGAAUUCAAAUCUUAUGUUACAGAAGCCAUUGUUGUCGGGUAAUGGGUUGACUAACACUCAUAGUGGUGGUGCCGAGAGGGACCAAUCAGGUGGUGAAGAAGAAACUUCCAGUAGAAGAAGGAGGAGAAGCCGAUGGGACCCACCCCCGACUGAUUCGAGCAAUGAUGGCACUGGAGGAAAUGAUGGAAGCGGGGCUGGACGAAAGAGGAAAUCGAGGUGGGCGGAUGAUGAGCCGAAGCCGGUGAUUCAGUUGCCUGAUUUCAUGAAGGAUUUCGCUGGAGGUAUUGAAUUUGACCCUGAAGUACAAGCUCUUAACAGUAGAUUACUUGAAAUUAGUAGGAAACUGCAAUCUGGUAUGCCUUUAGAUGAUAGACCCGAAGGAGCUCGAUCCCCUUCGCCUGAACCUAUAUAUGAUAAUAUGGGUGUACGUAUAAAUACGAGGGAGUAUCGUGCUCGAGAAAAACUAAAUAGGGAAAGACAAGAGAUUAUAUCACAGAUAAUAAAGAAAAAUCCAGCUUUUAAGCCACCAGCAGAUUAUAGGCCUCCUAAACUUCAUAAAAAGCUUUACAUUCCAAUGAAGGAGUACCCGGGUUAUAAUUUUAUCGGCCUUAUAAUUGGGCCGAGAGGGAAUACUCAGAAGAGAAUGGAAAAGGAGACUGGAGCAAAGAUUGUAAUUCGAGGUAAAGGGUCGAUUAAAGAAGGGAGGUUCCAACAGAAAGGGAAUUUGAAACAUGAUCCGGCAGAGAAUGAGGAUUUACAUGUGCUAGUGGAAGCUGAUACUCAGGAGUCACUUGAGGCUGCUGCAGCUAUGUUGGAGAAGCUUUUGCAGCCCGUCGAUGAAGUACUUAAUGAGCAUAAGAGGCAGCAGCUCAGGGAACUUGCAGCGUUGAAUGGAACGAUUAGAGAUGAAGAGUUUUGUAGGCUUUGUGGUGAACCAGGUCAUAGGCAAUAUGCUUGUCCUUCUCGCACCACCACAUUUAAAAGUGAUGUGCUUUGCAAAAUAUGUGGUGAUGGAGGACAUCCCACUAUAGAUUGUCCAGUGAAAAAUACUACUGGAAAGAAAAUGGAUGAUGAGUAUCAGAACUUCUUGGCAGAAUUGGGAGGGACAGUUCCUGAAUCAUCACUUAAGCAGAAUGCAGCAACUCUUGCUCUUGGUCCUGGAAGCACAGGCAGUAAUCCUCCUUGGGCCAGCAGUAAUAAUACAAGUGGUGGUGGUACCAAUUCACACCCUGGAUUAGGGUCAAAUAUAAUGAAGCCAAAAGAAUUUGAUGAUACAAACUUGUAUAUUGGUUACCUUCCUCCUACUCUGGAUGAUGAUGGUUUGAUCAAUUUAUUCUCUCCCUUUGGUACCAUCGUAAUGGCUAAAGUUAUAAAGGAUCGUCUCAGUGGUCUGAGUAAAGGUUAUGGUUUUGUUAAGUAUUCAGAUGUUCAACAAGCUAAUAGUGCCAUUGCUGGCAUGAAUGGUCAUUGUCUUGAUGGGAGAACUAUUGCUGUGAGAGUAGCCGGCAAACCCCCUCAGCCUGCUGUGCCUCCAAGCCCUCCUGCUCCAGCAAUGCCCCCAUAUCCUGCUCCUAAUCAGGCAUCUGGAGUCUAUCCGUCUCUGCAGUAUGCAACGGGUGGUCCCAUUGGUCCCCCUGGUGGCUAUGCUGGGACUCCAGUUCCUUGGGGACCACCUGUGCCUCCACCAUAUGCCUCUUACCCACCUCCUGGAUCAAUCAUGUAUCCUCCUCCUCCAGGUCAAUUUGUACCUCCGUAUGGUGCACAGUAUCCUCCACCAAUGCCAACACCAUCUUCCGGUGUCCCGGCUCAGACAGUUUCUUCUGGCGAAAACCAGCAAAAUUAUACAUCUUCUGGUGAGACACAACAAAGUUAUCCUCCCGGAGUGCAAUCUCAUAAUAGUGCUCCUGUUCAAUCGCUUCCCAGUUAUGCCUAUGGCAAUUCCGUCGCUGCAUUGCCACCCCAUACCCAACCUGCAUAUCCAACAUCUUCAUACAGCUAUCCUUCUUAUUAUGCCAUGGCACCACCACCUCCUCUUCCUCCAACUGCAACACAGUCCAGUGUAGAUCAUUCACAGAGUAUGAGCAAUGUUCCCUGGGCCUCAAAUCCACCAGAACCUGCACCUGCACCUCCACCUCCACCUCCACCAUCUGCAGAGAAACCUCCAUAUGGUACAGAUGCAGAGUAUGAAAAGUUCAUGUCGGAGAUGAAAUGAUGAUGCAGUUAACUUUGUAUUUGCUUGUAGUACAUGGCUGAUUUGUUGGAGCACUUCACAUGAUUUCUUACCUCUUGCCAUGUCUUACUUCUUUAACCGUGCUGUACUAUUAUGAUAUUUGCAGAGAGAUGAAGAGUUCAGUCCAUUCCUCAUGUGUUGGAGCAGCUAAUUAGAAGGUGCAUCUUCAAGAUGUGAAGGUCCUCAGGGAAAAGAUUCUUGUAGUGCAAUGGGCAUUCCUGUUCUGGGCCGAGUGUUGAGAAAUUUGCUUAUCCUCAAAUAUAGCUGUAUUAAAUUUAACCUUGUUUGCUUUACUUGGUUAUUCUUUAGAACUAGGUUUCAGCACCAAGAGAGAUAAUUUAGCUCAUCAAACUGGGUAAGAAGAGAA